rnacentral:hammerhead_ribozyme from 1 species
AUCCAGCUGACGAGUCCCAAAUAGAGGGAAAUACGCGUCUUGGAU